CAGUUAACUUUAACGCAAACACCCGCCAACAAGCCUGCUACGAGGAAGCGCAGGUGCUGGUUCUAUCUUACUGGAGACCAACUGACGACACAAGGGGUGGGCAGUUUCUUCCAGCGAGCUGAGUUCAUUGGCUCCUAAGGAGCUGCCGCUCAUCGCCAAAGGAACGCUGAUAGGCUCGCCCCGUGGAAAGAGGCGGGAUCUUUGGGGCCCUAACAGUGCCAGUUCUAAAACUAAACAACUGUCUCCUUCAGCUCCUGCCGUUCAGAGAGGUCUCUUCUCGCACUGCCCGAGCAACCAAGAUUUGAAUUUGACCGUGGUUAAAUGACCCAUUUGGACCAGGCCAGCCAGGCAGGAUGGGAGAGCGCCAUGGGGGUUCUGAAAGCCCCUCAGAGGACGGUGUGAUUAGCACUUUAGAGAUUAGAAAACGGUGAGAAGUUGUCACGUGCCCAAGGUCACACAAUUAAGGAAUGCCAGUUCUCUUCCUGCCACCUUGGAAUAUGCACUGUUUGGGAAGUUCCACCUUCAUGGAGUUGAACUCAUCCUCUAAAUUGGAGAAGGAAACCUCAAAAGAAGGGUUGAGUUUUGCAAAAACCCCCCACUGAAGAAAAAGAGCCUGAUUGUAACGGUCUAGUCUGCAUCCAGUUACUAUCUGAGCAAAAGUCAGGGGCCAGAAUUAACAGCUGAAUUCUGUACCCUGGUUAACUUCUCUGGAGCAAGUCAUUUUUGUCCCUUCUUUGUUUGCCCAGUGAUUUGCAGUAGGAUCUUGGGAAAUAAAAUUAAUGUACUUGUA